GGCUGCCCUACUUAAACGUCUAAGCACAGUCUCUCUUGAUGAUGAAGGCUUUGCAGCAGUUAAAGGGCUCUGUUGCAGGAUUGCAACUAAGAUUGCAACCUGAACUUAUUAUCUGAUGCACGUAUGGGCAACAGAUCUCCCAAUAUACAAUUUGAAGUUGUCUGAUGCUUAUUUUCCCACUGCCAAAUUUCUUGUGCUUGGAACAAAGACUAGAACAUUGAUGGUCGGUUCUUGGAAGUUGGAGACAUCAAGUUAUCGCUAACAUGUGCUAUUACCAGGCUGUUCUUUCUCUGGUACUAUAGUCUUUUGUGUGUCUAUUGUGUAGUGCAUUUUAUCCAAUUAGUUGGACUACCUUGCGUUUCAAGAUUGUUCUGUAGCUGG
rnacentral:misc_RNA from 1 species